GAUGAAGAACGCAGCGAAAUGCGAUAAGUAAUGUGAAUUGCAGAAUUCAGUGAAUCAUCGAAUCUUGAACGCACCUUGCGCCCUUUGGCUAUUCCGAAGGGCAUGCCUGUUUGAGUAUCAUGAACACCUCAACUCUCAUGGCUUGCCAUGAUGAGCUUGGACUUUUGGGGGUCUUGCUGGCCUGUGGUCAGCUCCUCUCAAAUGAAUUAGCCUGCCAGUGUUUGGUGGCAUCACAGGUGUGAUAACUAUCUACGCUUGUGGUUUUCCACCAGGUAACCUUCAGUGAUGAAGGUUCGCUGGGGCUCAUAAACGUCUCUCCUCAGUGAGGACAGCUCUUUGAACGUUUGAUCUCAAAUCAGGUAGGACUACCCGCUGAACUUAAGCAUAUCAAUAAGCGGAGGA
rnacentral:misc_RNA from 1 species